AAAAUUAUAACUUUAUUUUUACAGAAUACAAACUGCGUUUGGCCUCCAGCAUCUCAACAAUAAAACACAUUUACAAUUCACACUGUGGUUAUCACCAUCUUCAUCUUCAUCAUCUUCAUCAUCAUCUUCACCUGCACAGGUAUUUACAGGCACAUUUACACGCUGUUAUCAAACUGUACAGCUUCAGUCUGAUCCUGGAUCAGUUUUUUUUACAAACAUUUUAAAGUUUCUAUUCCCUUGUAGAAAAAAACGUUUUCAGUAACAAACAGAGCUCGACCAAUCAGAGCGGAGGAUCUGAUCCAUCAGGUUAGAAAACUGUACAGAGAUCAGGAGGUCAAAGGUCAAACUGUGACCUCCAUUUACACAAUUCAUCAGUGGUGUGCAGAGUUUAAGCUCCGCCUUCUCUCUUUAUUGGGAAAAAAAAAAGUAUCCUGAAGAAGCACCAUAAAUCUUCAUCUUCAUCGUCACACGCAUGCAGAAGUCUAAUCUGAUCAAAGAACUACAACUACGGGUCAAACACAGGCUCAAUAAACACGCAGGCAGAAACACUGACGACGGUCAAACAGCAAAAGUUCUCAGAAAGAAGAAGAAAAAUACAGACGCUGCAUCUGACAGCGGGAAGAUCAUUUUACAAAAGAUUCAUCCAAUAUGUGUUUCCUGUUUCAGAAUAACGGUCAGAGUGUCUCUUUUAUUGCGUGAACAGUUCCGUUCGAGUCCUUUUAUUCUGAAAAAACAAACAGCAAGACAACAGGAAGUAUCCUGUCAGAGUUUUGCGUUAAAACUUAAAACUUAAAUCAAACUGUGACAGAUUGAGCUCUCCACUGGCAGCUGAUGUGUCAGGCUGUUGCCAUGGAGACACAGCUGAUCGUGUCCCACCUGGGGCAUUGCAGACUGAGUCCUCAUGGUUCUCAUCACAUUAAUCUGGUUGUGUUGACCCUGUAAACUGACUGUCAGCGUAGUCCGUCUAAUAACACGGUUACGUCCUGUUUGGCAUUUCCGGUCUUCAUUAUUGCUUUAAAACAUCAGAACACCUAGAGUCUGUGUGUUCAGGUGAGUCUGUGUGUUCAGGUGAGUCUGUGUGUUCAGGUGAGUGUGUGUUCAGGUGAGUCUGUGUGUUCAGGUGAGUCUGUGUGUCCAGGUGAGUCUGUGUGUUCAGGUAAGUCUGUGUUCAGUCUGUGUGUUCAGGUGAGUCUGUGUGUCCAGGUGAGUCUGUGUGUUCAGUCUGUGUGUUCAGGUGAGUCUGUGUGUUCAGGUGAGUCUGUGUGUCCAGGUGAGUCUGUGUGUUCAGGUGAGUGUGUGUUCAGGUGAGUCUGUGUGUCCAGGUGAGUCUGUUUCUGUACCUUUUGAUAACACGGGGUAUCAAAGACUUUCAGAAAUGAUCACAACCUUUAGUUCAGAUAUUUGGACUCCUGACGACCGAACAGCUGAUUGAAUCCGUGUUUGUUCACUCACAUCAAACCG